rnacentral:rRNA from 1 species
GAUGAACGCUAGCUACAGGCUUAACACAUGCAAGUCGAGGGGAAACGGCAUUGAGUGCUUGCACUCUUUGGACGUCGACCGGCGCACGGGUGAGUAACGCGUAUCCAACCUUCCCAUUACUGUGGGAUAACCUGCCGAAAGGCAGACUAAUACCGCAUAGUCUUCGAUGACGGCAUCAGAUUUGAAGUAAAGAUUUAUCGGUAAUGGAUGGGGAUGCGUCUGAUUAGCUUGUUGGCGGGGUAACGGCCCACCAAGGCGACGAUCAGUAGGGGUUCUGAGAGGAAGGUCCCCCACAUUGGAACUGAGACACGGUCCAAACUCCUACGGGAGGCAGCAGUGAGGAAUAGUGGGCAAGGGAUGGAAGUCUGAACCAGCCAAGUAGCGUGCAGGAUGACGGCCCUAUGGGUUGUAAACUGCUUUUGAAUGUGGAAAAGGUUAGGGACGUGUCCCUAUUUGCAGGUACCAUACGAAUAAGGACCGGCUAAUUCCGUG